CUUUUCAUUAUGGAAAAUUUCAAACAUACACAAAACUAGAGAAAAUAGUACAAUACCCCACCCCCGGGUACCCAACACCCAGCUUCAACCAUUAUCAACUCAUGGUCAAUGUUUAUCUCUUGGGAUUACUCUGAAGCAAAUUCUACUUUUUUUUUUUUUUGUCUAUUUGCCUUUUCUAAGGUUCUCCCCUCGGCAUAUGGAGGUUCCCAGGCUAAGGGUCUAAUCAGAGCUGUAGCCGCCGGCCUACUCCAGAGCCAUAGCAACGGGGGAUCUGAGCCAUGUCUGCGACCUACACCACAGCUCACGGCAACACCGCAUCCUUAACCCACUGAGUGAGGCCAGGGAUCGAACCCGAAACCUCAUGGUUCCUAGUUGGAUUCGUUAACCACUGACCCACGACGGGAACUCCUGAAGCAACUUCUAGACGCAUCCACAGGGAUGGCAUUUAAGCCUGGAGCACGGAGAGGAUUGCAAAGAGAAAGAGAAGAUGCAGAGGCCGUCCAACUUCAGACGUCAGAGAGAUGAGACAAUGAGAAGGGAGAGGCCACGAGACGGGGGGGGGGGGACCAGAAAUACACACCCAGAGAAGGCAGCACUUCAAGGAAACGGGCAUAACCCGCUGUGCCAAAUACUGUGAAGCUGCUAUGAUGGGGACCCAGAAGAGGCCACAAGAUUGAGUCGCAAGGAAGUCACUGCUGCCCUUGUCGAGAGCACUUUCAUCUGGAGUGGCUGGAGACAAGCUGCAUGGAGGCACCUGAAAGAGGAAGUGAAGGGAGCAAGGACCGGAAAUGCACUGGGGCAGAGACAUGGGCAGUAGCUUUUCUUUUCUUUGACCUUUUAGGGCUGCAUCUGCGGCAUAUGGAGGUUCCCAGGCUAGGGGCCUAACUGGAGCUGUAGCCGCCGGCCUACACCACAGCCACAGCAACGUGGGAUCCAAGCCGCAUCUGCCACCUACACCACAGCUCACGGCAACGCCGGAUCCUUAACCCACUGAGCGAGGCCAGGGAUCGAACCCACAUCCUCAUGGAUCCUCGUCGUCAUUGGGCUCAUUACCACGGAGCCAUAAAGGGAACUCCAAAGAAGGCUUUUCUUAAGAUGAGAAGAACAGCAGCACGUGGACAUGAUCCAUAGAAAGAGAGAGAGAGGGCGGUGCGAGGGCAACAGCCCGAAUACAUCUCGGGGCUGACACGCAGCGCAAAGAAGAGGCUCCUGCUCCAGCGGGACCGAGAGUAGUUCAUCCAAAAACGCAACAUGCCCAGCCCUCUUUAGCUUUUCCUUUGGGGUUUUAUAAUGUAUAUAAGGCAUCAGUACAGCAAUGCAGUAUAUAAAUAUACACAGGCAAGGAAAUUUGCUCAAAAGUUUUAACCAGUGUCAGUGCACAAUCAAAACCAUUAAAGAUUACUUAAUAAAAAAUAAACAAAAUAUCACCAAACUCUAAACUACACAGCCUUCAGUGAAAGAAGAUCCUGUGUCAUUGUAUAUUCAUGUAUUCUGUAUUAUCUCAAGAUUUUUUUUUUUCCUUUUUCAGCUGCCCCCACAGUAUAUGGGAGUUCCCGGGCCAGGGAUCAAAUCCAAGCCAGAGCUUCGACCUACAGCCGUAGCAAUGCCAGAUCCUUAACCCACUGUGCCGGGUUGGGCAUCGAACCUGCACCUCCACAGAGACAAGCCAAUCAUUAACCCGCUGUGCCACAGCAGGAACUCCUAACUGAGAUUUUUUUUUUUUGAAAGGCUCAAAUGCUAUAAUCCACCAAAAACUGCACGAGAGCUACAUUUGAACUGGAAAAAUACAAGAAUCAUGGACCAUUCUCAAACCCAAACAUCACAGUGGCCAAACAUAAAUCUUAUGAUUUAUUCAGAGAAAUGCAAAUCAGUGAGAGUCUUAUUAGCAAGACAAGCCUGAACUGUACCACUAGAUUCUGCCAGAGGCAGCACGGUCACCCCGAACACCAUCCUGCCCAGCAAAGAAAAGCAGGUUGAGAAAGCAGGCUUCUUCAGGCAGGUAGCCUAAUCAUUACAGCAAAAGCCCCAACCCACCGCAAAUCCACCUGCUCAAAGAACACACUAGCAGGGCUUGGCCGGCGCCGAGCCCCUCAACAGCUCCGGGCACCUUCCAGAUGUUUUUGGUCAGCCUCUGGACAAUCCGCCAGUUAAGCAGGAGUUCCAUGUUACCCUGCUUAGCUACAAAGGCUCAAGCC
rnacentral:lncRNA from 1 species